rnacentral:rRNA from 1 species
GAUGAACGCUAGCGGCAGGCCUAACACAUGCAAGCCGAGCGGUAGUUGUUCUUCUGAACAUCGAUAGCGGCGCACGGGGGCGGAACACGUGUGCAAGCUGCCUUUACCUGGGGGAUUGCCUUUCGUAAGGGAGAUUAAAACCCCAUAAUAUAUUGAGUGUCAACAUUUGAGAUUGAAAACUCCGGAGGUUAGAGAUGGGCCCGCGCAAGAUUAGAUAGUUGGUGAGGUAACGGCUUACCAAGGCAACGAUGCAUAGCCGACCUGAGAGGGUGAUCGGCCACACUGGAACUGAGACACGGUCCAGACUCCUACGGGAGGCAGCAGUAGGGAAUCUUCCGCAAUGGGCGAAAGCCUGACGGAGCAACGCCGCGUGAGUGAUGAAGGUCUUCGGAUCGUAAAACUCUGUUAUUAGGGAAGAACAUAUGUGUAAGUAACUGUGCACAUCUUGACGGUACCUAAUCAGAAAGCCACGGCUAACUACGUG